UACGUAGGUGGCUAGCGUUGUCCGGAUUUACUGGGCGUAAAGAGCGCGCAGGCGGUCGUUCAAGUCGAGUGUGAAAGCCCCCGGCUCAACUGGGGAGGGUCACUCGAUACUGAUCGACUUGAAGGCAGGAGAGGGAAGCGGAAUUCCCGGUGUAGUGGUGAAAUGCGUAGAUAUCGGGAGGAACACCAGUGGCGAAGGCGGCUUUCUGGCCUGUUCUUGACUGCUGA
rnacentral:rRNA from 1 species